rnacentral:lncRNA from 1 species
AGGGCCAAGAGGAACAAAGCAGAAAAAGAGAUCAGAGACGGAUGUGCACUGUUUUCAAUUCAACGUAAGCUUCGUCUUCACAUCAAACCGGAACAGAUCAAUGGAAUUAACUGUUGCCAGGAGAAAAAUCAACCGAAACCCUUCAAUGUUGAUGAAGCAAGAUGACUUAAUCAGCUCAUCCUAGAAAUAAGAAGGAAAGCAGAGUCAUUAUAUAAAACCCUGACCAGGCGCUCAGCUUCUGACAUCCGGAGGAGAAAAGGCAGACCGCUCAACCUUCUCCUUGUUUAAUCCCAGGUAACACAUGCUGCAUCUAAGCAAUGAAUGAAUAAGUCUAAAAAAUUAAGGAAAGUAAAUGUAUGCUUAUUCAACUGACAUGGAGAAACGCCCAGGCAUGGUUUCUAUGCGACAAUGAACGAGAAAUGUGAUAUCCAAAGCAGGGACUCCAGAUGUUAUUUCUCUGUGGAACGUCUAAGGAGUCUUCACCUCUCCAAAGAACUUGUGCUUGUUCUGGUUAGUAUCUCUCCUUUCUUACCAUACUCCCAACAUUGGUAUAUCAGAGAGCAAGUCUCUGGAGCACU